rnacentral:rRNA from 1 species
UGCGCAGGCGGCCCGAUAAGUCAGGGGUGAAAUAUGACGGCUCAACCGUCAAACUGCCCCUGAAACUGUCAGGCUUGAGUCCGGGAGAGGUUGGUGGAAUUCCAGGUGUAGCGGUGAAAUGCGUAAAUAUCUGGAGGAACACCGGUGGCGAAGGCGGCCAACUGGCCCGGUACUGACGCUCAGGCACGAAAGCAUGGGGAGCGAAC